rnacentral:lncRNA from 1 species
GGGUUCAGUUUCUCCGCUCUCGAAGAGCGAAACUGAGAAUCGAAACUGCGCUGGAUUCCAUGCAGCAGGAUCCGGAACCUGCCGGAUCUCCGGGGCCCCAGCAGGACCCCGCACUGCCCCACUCCCCCAGCAUGCCUCCCCCGGAGGCACUCUCCGAAGGCCACCAGUCCAGCCAUAGCGACAGCCCCACAGAGCAAGCCACGGAGGAAGAGUUCCAGUUCUUGCGCUGCCAGGGCUGCCGGGCAGAAGCUAAGUGCCCCAAGCUGCUGCCUUGUCUGCAUACGCUGUGCUCAGGAUGCCUGGAGGAGUCCGGCAUACAGUGCCCCGUCUGCCAGGCUCCCUGGCCCUCAGGUGCCGGCGCGCAGGCCCUGGACAACGUCUUCUUCGAGAGCCUGCAGCGGCGGCUGUCGGUGUACCAGCAGAUCGCACGCGAGCAGGCGUUUUGCACCCGCUGCAAAGAGCUGGCCCACUACUGGUGCUUCGAGUGUGAGCAGCUCAUCUGCGCCAAGUGCUUCGAGGCGCACCAGUGGUUCCUCAAGCACGAGGCCCGGCCGCUGGCGGAGCUCCGCAGCCAGUCGGUGCGGGAGUUUCUGGACGGCACCCGCAAGUCCAACAACAUCUUCUGCUCCAACCCCAACCACCGCAGCCCUAUGCUGACCAGCAUCUACUGCCGAGGCUGCUCCAAGCCCUUGUGCUGCUCGUGCGCUCUCCUGGAUAGGGACCACGGCGAGCUCAAGUGCGACAUCAGCAUGGAGAUCCAGCAGCGGCAGGAUGAGCUGGACACCAUGACCCAGGACCUGCAGGAGCAGGACCGCAGCUUCGGGGCAGCGCAGGCGCAGAUGCGCUCUGCCAUCAGCCAGCUGGGCCGUGUACGCGCCGACACUGAGGAGUUCAUCCGUGAGCGCGUGCGCGAGGUGGUAGCGCACGUGCUAGAGCAGGAGCGUGAGCUGCUGGAAGGCGUGGGUGCGCGGUACCAGCGCGACUAUGAAGAGAUAGCGGGCCAGCUGGGCCGGCUGGAUGCUGUACUGCAGCGGAUCCGUAUGGGCAGCGUGCUGGUGCAGAGGAUGAAACUAUACGCCUCGGAUCAGGAGGUGCUGGACAUGCAUGACUUCCUGCGCAAGGCACUCCACCAGCUGCGCCAAGAGGAGCCCCAGAGUCUGCGAGCCACUGUGCACACAGACAGCUUCAACGAAUUCAGGGUGCGCCUGCAGGGCCUCGUCUCUUGCAUCACCCAGGGUAGAGAUGCAGCUCUAUCCAGGAGAGCCAGCCCAGAAGCUGCCAGCACUCCCAGAGACACUUGUGGCCCUGACCCGCCAGAGGAGGUGCCGAGGGACCAGAUGCAAGCCGCGGGAUUGGCCGUGGUACAGCCGGUGCCAGGGGCACACCCUGUGCCAGUGUACGCCUUCUCCAUCCAAGACCCCUCCCGCAGAGAAGAGGGCACCCACACGCAGAAGAGGAAGGCCUGCCAGACCGAGUGCCCCCGGAAGGUCAUCAAGAUGGAGUCUGAGGAGGGGGAAGAGUCUAGGUUGGCUCAGAGCUCCCCUGAGCAGCCCAGGCCCAGCACCUCCAGGGCAGUCUCGCCACCCCACCUGGAUGGGCCCUCCAGCCCCAAGAGCCCCAUCAUAAGAGAUGAGCUCCCCUUGCCUGAAAGCAACCAUCAAACCGGCGACCCUGCAGAGACAGAGGAGCGCGUCGUGGUGAUCAGCAGCUCGGAAGACUCAGAUGCUGAAAACCCGGACUCCCGAGAGCUGGCCGACAACAGCAGCGAGUCCAGUGACCUCCAGCUGGAGGGCCCCAGCUCCCUCGGAGUCCUGGACGACGGCCCCUCCAACUCCCUGGUGGAAGACAAGCCCCUGGUUUUCUUUGACCUCAAGAUUGACAAUGAAAGUGGGUUCUCCGGUGGCCACCCCCAACCCUUUCUUGCUCAG